UCAGGAGUUCGAGACUAGCCUGGCCAACAAUGGUGAAACCCCAUCUCUACUAAAAAUACAAACAUUAGCCAAGCGUAGUUGUGCACGCCUGUACUAUCAGCUACUCGGGAGGCGGAGACAGGAGAAUCACUUGAACCCAGAAGGAGGAGGUUGCAGUGAGCUGAGAUUAUGCCAUUGCCCUCCAUCCUGGGCAACAAGAGUGAAACUCCAGUUCAAAAAAAAAAAAAAUACAGUAAACAAAAGAGAAGCCUCAGAUCCUUCCUUCAUUCUAGCAGAUUUUGAAAGAACAGGGUAAUGGGCACAGAGAAGACAUAUAUAUAUAAAUUAACAUAUACUAUAAUAUUAUUGCAUGUAUAAUGAUAUAUUCUAUAUGAUAAAGGAUUCGUUAGAAAAAAUGGGGCAUAGGACAAAUUAUGUUAAGAAAAUGACUUGUAAGUUGUAACAAAAAAACAAAUAGGUUCAUAUAUUAUUUUCCAAGAUAAAUUUCCAAUAGGUUCAAGAAUUCAAUCUAGAAUUUGCUAUAGAAGUGACCAUUUUCUGGUGGGUGAGGGCAUGCUAAACACAAAAUAAUAAAAUUAACCACAAUUGGAACAAAAUGAUAGAUUGGAUGUCGUGAGAAUUUUAAACAUCUUUUAAAAAAACAUUUGCUACUCAGGUCACAAAAAAUCGCUAAUUAUGUAGAGAAAUCUCAAAAAAAUGUAUUACACCUUAAUAUCUAAAAGAAACACACACACAUGUGCACACACAGAUUAAACAUAAACAGACAGUCAUCAGAGGAGAAAUUAUAAAGGGUAAUAAAAAUAUGGGGAAAUCUGUACCAUGGCUAUCCCCUCCUCAUGGAACAUUAUCCUCUUCUCUCUCCAUUUAACUUAUGUUCAACUGCAAUAACUUUAUGAAAGUUAUCUUCUGUGUGAGAUACCUCACUUUUCCAUCUGGGCCGCCACAGCUUCAUAUAAACUAUUAUUACUUUGUUAUAUUCAUUUUUUAGUAAAGAUUUAUUGAGAAUGUACUCGCUGAUGCUUUUUUAGGCACAGAGAUUCAACAGGAAAUCAGAGAUAUGUCGAUACCAGCUUCAUGGAGCAUGCUUUUUAUUACAACGAAUGCAUGUGUGUCUGUCUAGCCUGUGAAUCCUUUGAGGACCUGAAUCACAUCUCUUUCAUCUUUGUCUUCAUAUCCCUAAUGCCUAAAAUGCUAUCUGAGACAGAACUAAUAGUCAAUUUCUGAUGAAUCCAUUCACAGCUAGAUCACUGCCCUCCUUGGAUGAUCAUCUCCCAAGUGAAUUUUGACCAGUCCUGUGUAACCAAUAGAGUGAAGCUGAAGUGGUUGUUGUGACGUCCAAGAUUAAGUCAUAAGGAAAACUGGAGUAUCCACCUCAGUUUGUGUUUUAGAAUGUGGAUUCUGGUAGAAUCCAGCUGUCAUAUACAACAUCUGACUAUCUUGAAAAUGCCAAGAAGUGAGGAAGCCCAAGCAGUCACAUGAAAGGCUGAAUGGAGAGGGAGUGAUGCCUGUCUGGCCCUCAGCUAUUCAAGCCAUUCCCACUGAGGCAUCAGACAUGAGAGUGAACAUCCAGCCCAGUUCAACCUUCUGAUGAUGCCACCAUCUGAGCAACUGCAUGAGAGAUCUCAGGACUUUGGAAGGCUAAAGGGGUGGAUCACCUGAAGUCAGGAGUUUGAGACCAGCCUGGCCAACAUGGUGAAACCCCAUCUCUACUAAAAAUACAAAAAUUAGCCGGGCAUGGUGGUGCGCACCUGUAAUUCCAGCUACUCAGGAGGCUGAGGCAGGAGAAUCGCUUGAAUCCAGGAGGCAGAGGUUGUAGUCAGCCAAGAUCGCGCCACUGUACUCCAGCCUGGGCAACAGAAUGAUACUCCUUCUC